CACUCCUGCGGGAGGCAGCAGUGGGGAAUUUUGGACAAUGGGCGAAAGCCUGAUCCAGCAAUGCCGCGUGAGUGAAGAAGGCCUUCGGGUUGUAAAGCUCUUUUGUCAGGGAAGAAACGGUGAGAGCUAAUAUCUCUUGCUAAUGACGGUACCUGAAGAAUAAGCACCGGCUAACUACGUGCCAGCAGCCGCGGUAAUACGUAGGGUGCAAGCGUUAAUCGGAAUUACUGGGCGUAAAGCGUGCGCAGGCGGUUUUGUAAGUCUGAUGUGAAAUCCCCGGGCUCAACCUGGGAAUUGCAUUGGAGACUGCAAGGCUAGAAUCUGGCAGAGGGGGGUAGAAUUCCACGUGUAGCAGUGAAAUGCGUAGAUAUGUGGAGGAACACCGAUGGCGAAGGCAGCCCCCUGGGUCAAGAUUGACGCUCAUGCACGAAAGCGUGGGGAGCAAACAGGAUUAGAUACCCCUGUAGUCC
rnacentral:rRNA from 1 species